UGCGGUUUAAUCGGACUCAACGCCGGGAAACUCAACCAGAUUAAGACAGCUGAAUGAUAGUCGGGCUGAAGACUCUACUUGACUAGCUGAGAGGAGGUGCAUGGCCGUCGUCAGUUCGUACUGUGAAGCAUCCUGUUAAGUCAGGCAACGAGCGAGACCCACGCCAACAGUUGCCAGCUCGUCCUCCGGGAUGGUGGGGACACUGUUGGGACCGCUCUGCUAAAGAGGAGGAAGGGAAUGGGCAACGGUAGGUCAGCAUGCCCCGAAUUAUCUGGGCUACACGCGGGCUACAAUGGGUGGGACAAUGGGUAUCGACACCGAAAGGUGAAGGCAAUCUUCUAAACCCAUCCGUAGUUCGGAUUGUGGGCUGCAACUCGCCCACAUGAAGCUGGAAUCUGUAGUAAUCGUGUCUCAAAAUGGCACGGUGAAUAUGUCCCUGCUCCUU
rnacentral:rRNA from 1 species